GACGUAGGGCGCGAGCGUUGUCCGGAUUUAUUGGGCGUAAAGAGCUCGUAGGCGGCUAAGUAAGUCGGGUGUGAAACUCCAGGCUCAACCUGGAGACGCCACCUGAUACUGCUUGGCUAGAGUCCGGUAGGAGCAUGGAAUUCCGCGUGUAGCAGUGAAUGCGUAGAGAUGCGGAGGAACACCGAUGGCCGAAGGCAGCCCCUGGCUGACACUGACGCUCGAGGCACGAAGCGUGGGAGCAAACAGG
rnacentral:rRNA from 1 species